rnacentral:rRNA from 1 species
GUGGGGAAUUUUGGACAAUGGGCGAAAGCCUGAUCCAGCCAUGCCGCGUGCAGGAUGAAGGCCUUCGGGUUGUAAACUGCUUUUGUACGGAACGAAAAGACUCCUUCUAAUAAAGGGGGUCCAUGACGGUACCGUAAGAAUAAGCACCGGCUAACUACGUGCCAGCAGCCGCGGUAAUACGUAGGGUGCAAGCGUUAAUCGGAAUUACUGGGCGUAAAGCGUGCGCAGGCGGUUAUAUAAGACAGAUGUGAAAUCCCCGGGCUCAACCUGGGAACUGCAUUUGUGACUGUAUAGCUAGAGUACGGUAGAGGGGGAUGGAAUUCCGCGUGUAGCAGUGAAAUGCGUAGAUAUGCGGAGGAACACCGAUGGCGAAGGCAAUCCCCUGGACCUGUACUGACGCUCAUGUACGAAAGCGUGGGGAGCAAACAGGAUUAGAAACCCUUGUAGUCC